rnacentral:rRNA from 1 species
UACGUAGGGUGCAAGCGUUAAUCGGAAUUACUGGGCGUAAAGGGCGCGUAGGCGGCUUUUUAAGUCAGACGUGAAAUCCCCCGGCUUAACCUGGGAACUGCGUCUGAUACUGGGAAGCUUGAGUUCGGGAGAGGGAUGUAGAAUUCCAGGUGUAGCGGUGAAAUGCGUAGAUAUCGAGAGGAACACCUGCGGCGAAGGCGGGUUGCUGGGCUGACACUGACGCUGAAGCGCGAAAGCUAGGGGAGCGAACGGG